rnacentral:rRNA from 1 species
UACGUAGGGUGCAAGCGUUGUCCGGAAUUAUUGGGCGUAAAGAGCUCGUAGGCGGUUAGUCGCGUCUGCUGUGAAAACUCGGGGCUUAACUCCGGGCCUGCAGUGGGUACGGGCUGACUAGAGUGCGGUAGGGGAGACUGGAAUUCCUGGUGUAGCGGUGAAAUGCGCAGAUAUCAGGAGGAACACCGGUGGCGAAGGCGGGGUCUCUGGGCCGAUACUGACGCUGAGGAGCGAAAGCGUGGGGAGCGAACAGG